rnacentral:rRNA from 1 species
GACGAACGCUGGCGGCGUGCUUAACACAUGCAAGUCGAACGGUAAGGCGCUUUCGGGCGUACACGAGUGGCGAACGGGUGAGUAACACGUGAGGAACGUGCCCUUGACUUUGGUAUAGCACUUGGAAACAGGUGGUAAUCCCGAAUAUUCAGUUUCCCGGGCAUCCGGGUUGUUGGAAAGCUUUUUGCGGUCAGGGAUCGUCUCGCGGCCUAUCAGCUUGUUGGUGGGGUAGUGGCCCACCAAGGCCUUGACGGGUAGCCGGCCUGAGAGGGCGACCGGCCACAUUGGGACUGAGAUACGGCCCAGACUCCUACGGGAGGCAGCAGUGGGGAAUAUUCACA